rnacentral:rRNA from 1 species
CUGAUGGCGUACUUUUUGUAGAACGGUCCGGCGAGUUACUAAUGCCAGCGAGGUUAAGUGGUCAGAAGCCACGGAGCCGAAGGGAAACCAAGUCUGAAUAGGGCGUAGAGUUGGUAUUAGUAGACCCGAAACCGGGUGACCUAUCCAUGUCCAGGUUGAAGGAACCGUAAAAGGUUUUGGAGGACCGAACACACAUGUGUUGAAAAACGUGGUGAUGAGGUGUGGAUAGCGGAGAAAUUCCAAUCGAACUCGGAGAUAGCUGGUUCUCCUCGAAAUAGCUUUAGGGCUAGCCUCGAGCUGGAGUCUAACGGAGGUAAAGCACUGAACUGACGCGGGGCCCAAAAAGGUUACCAACUCAUAUCAAACUAAGAAUGCCGUCAAGAUACCCUCGGGAGUCAGUCUGCGUGAGAUAAGUCGCGUGGACAAAAGGGAAAGAGCCCAGACCGACAGCUAAGGUCCCAAAGUACGUGUUAAGUGGAAAAGGAUGUGGGAUUUCAUAGACAACUAGGAUGUUGGCUUAGAAGCAGCCAUACAUUUAAAGAGUGCGUAAUAGCUCACUAGUCGAGAAAACCUGCGCCGAAAAUGUAACGGGGCUAAAACACGACACCGAAGCUACGGAUUUCCUACUAGGUAGGAAGUGGUAGAGGAGCAUCCUGCAAGGACGAAGCCAAAGUGAGAGCGAUGGUGGACGAAACAGGAGAGAGAAUGCCGGAAUGAGUAGCGAGAUACAUGUGAGAAACAUGUAGGCCGAAUAUCUAAGGAUUCCUGGGUAAAGCUAAUCUUCCCAGGGUUAGUCGGGGCCUAAGGCGAGGACGAAAGUCGUAGUCGCGUGAUGAGGACUGAAAAAAAGUAAGGAAGUUUCCGAAUCCACACUGCCGAGAAAAGCCGCUAUUGCGUUAUGUGUACCCGUACCGUAAACCGACACAGGUAGAUGAGGAGAAAAUCCACAGGCCGACGGGAGAAGUGUUGUUAAGGAACUCGGCAAAAUGACCCCGUAACUUCGGGAUAAGGGGAGCCUCGCAAGAGGCCGCAGAAAAGAGGCACAAGCAACUGUUUAGCAAAAACAUAGGUCUAUGCGAAACCGUAAGGUGAAGUAUAUGGGCUGACGCCUGCCCGGUGCUGGAAGGUUAAAAGGAGAGGUCAGCGCAAGCGAAGCUUUGAAUUCAAGCCCCAGUAAACGGCGGCCGUAACUAUAACGGUCCUAAGGUAGCGAAAUUCCUUGUCAGGUAAGUUCUGACCCGCACGAAAGGCGUAAUGAUUUGUGCACUGUCUCGACAACACGCCCGGUGAAAUUGAAGAACCAGUGAAGAUACUGGUUACCCGCAACAGGACGGAAAGACCCCAUGGAGCUUUACUGCAGCCUGAUACUGGGAUUCGAUGAUAUAUGUACAGGAUAGGUGGGAGGCUAAGAAGCGAGAACGCUAGUUUUCGUGGAGCCGCCGGUGGGAUACCACUCUUAUGUCAUUGGAUUUCUAACCUGCAUCCGUAAUCCGGGUGAGGGACAAUGUCAGGCGGGCAGUUUGACUGGGGCGGUCGCCUCCUAAAAGGUAACGGAGGCGCUCGAAGGUCACCUCAGAAUGAUUGGAAACCAUUCAAAGAGUGUAAAGGCAAAAGGUGGCUUGACUGCGAGAGCGACGGCUCGAGCAGGUACGAAAGUAGGACUUAGUGAUCCGGUGGUAAUAAGUGGGAAUGCCAUCGCUCAACGGAUAAAAGCUACCCUGGGGAUAACAGGCUUAUCUCCCCCAAGAGUUCACAUCGACGGGGAGGUUUGGCACCUCGAUGUCGGCUCAUCGCAUCCUGGGGCUGAAGUAGGUCCCAAGGGUUGGGCUGUUCG